rnacentral:rRNA from 1 species
UACGAAGGGGGCUAGCGUUGCUCGGAAUCACUGGGCGUAAAGCGCACGUAGGCGGAUUGUUAAGUCAGGGGUGAAAUCCUGGAGCUCAACUCCAGAACUGCCUUUGAUACUGACGGUCUUGAGUUCGGGAGAGGUGGGUGGAACUGCGAGUGUAGAGGUGAAAUUCGUAGAUAUUCGCAAGAACACCAGUGGCGAAGGCGGCUCACUGGCCCGAUACUGACGCUGAGGUGCGAAAGCGUGGGGAGCAAACAGG